CCUAGAUCCAACUAGCACAUUAACGGGGCAAUAGACGACUUUCCCACUUGCAAGUAUGACUUGGAGGGGCAUUCAAGUGGAUUUUCCCAGUCGUAUAUGCCGGCCCAGCAGUAUAAUUGAUGUCCCUGCACACCAGAUCGCUGUGGCGCAAUGCACUCAGGGCUUCCUCCUGGACCCAUGCAUCCUGUCUCGGACGUUCCCAACGUUCACAGGUGUCUUCGGUUUCCUCUUCCCAAGGGGUAGACAGAUGAACCCAUUGAUCUUUGCUGUGACACUGACUGCCCUCAGUGCCCUGUGACCCCUCCCAAGGUUCCUGUUUGUUCCUUCGACCAUCAUCCCCUCAGCAUCUUCUCAGCAUCCUCUCAGUCACACCCUUUAAAAGCUGCCCUCCCUGGACCACUGACGUCCAGGGAUCUCAGCAAUGCCACCGCACAAUAUUAAUUAUCAACACUGAUAUGGAUUGAACAUCAAUGAUAGAUUGAGUUUUGCUGAGUCUGGAGUUAUAGCAUGGGUUUGGGUGGAUAAGUGGCGAAGGAAAAGUGGCUCUAUAUUACUGUAUGUUUUGGGUCAUCAAUAUGGUCAGUUAGUGGUGGGAUUUGUGGUGAGGGUGACAGAAUAUGUAUAGAAACUGAUUGUGGUGAAUAGUGUUUUGGGGAAAGUGUGUGUGGUGUAGUGGGCUGUGGGCAGUUUCUCUUCUAUAACUUCUGUUUCUGUUCCUUCAUAUCCUCCAUCACAGUGUUCCCUAGAUGUGUGUGUUCAUCACGAUUUGUGUACGGCCUUGUGAAUAUGCAGAUAUGUUUGUGAGAGCAUGGCUGUUUGUACAGUGCAUUCGGAAAGUAUUCAGACCCCUUCCCUUUUUCCACAUUUUGUUACGUUACAGCUUUAUUCUAAAAUGGAUUUAAAAGCAAAAACAGGUUUUUAGAAAUGUUUGUACAUUUAUUAAAAAUAAAAAACUUAUCUUAUUUACAUAAGUAUUCAGACCUUUUUCUAUGAGACUUGAAAUUGAG
rnacentral:lncRNA from 1 species